GAAAUGCGAUAAGUAAUGUGAAUUGCAGAAUUCAGUGAAUCAUCGAAUCUUUGAACGCACCUUGCGCUCCUUGGUAUUCCUUGGAUCAUGCCUGUUUGAGUAUCAUGAAAUCUUCAAAGUAAAUCUUUUGUUAACUCAAUUGGUUUCUACUUUGGUAUUGGAGGUCUUUGCAGCUUCACACCUGCUCCUCUUUGUUCAUUAGCUGGAUCUCAGUGUUAUGCUUGGUUCCACUCGGCGUGAUAAGUUAUCUAUCGCUGAGGACACUGUAAAAGGUGGCCAAGGUAAAUGCACAUGAACCGCUUCUAAUAGUCCAUUGACUUGGACAAUACUUUUAUGAUCUGAUCUCAAAUCAGGUAGGACUACCCGCUGAACUUAAGC
rnacentral:misc_RNA from 1 species